ACGAACGCUGGCGGCGUGCUUAACCCAUGCAAGUCGAACGAAGCUUGAUUACGGAUUCUUCGGAUGAAGUAUGAUAUGACUGAGUGGCGGACGGGUGAGUAACGCGUGAGUAACCUGCCCUUCAGAGGGGGAUAGCGUUUGGAAACGAACGGUAAUACCGCAUAAUGUAUUUUGACCGCAUGAUCGAAAUACCAAAGAUUUAUCGCUGAAGGAUGGACUCGCGUCUGAUUAGGUAGUUGGUGGGGUAACGGCCUACCAAGCCGACGAUCAGUAGCCGGACUGAGAGGUUGAUCGGCCACAUUGGGACUGAGACACGGCCCAGACUCCUACGGGAGGCAGCAGUGGGGAAUAUUGCACAAUGGGCGCAAGCCUGAUGCAGCAACGCCGCGUGAAGGAAGACGGUUUUCGGAUUGUAAACUUCUGUUCUUAGUGAAGAAUAAUGACGGUAGCUAAGGAGCAAGCCACGGCUAACUACGUG
rnacentral:rRNA from 1 species